rnacentral:lncRNA from 1 species
AGAGCUGCGCCCGCCUGGGGCAACUCCGAGUCCAGGAGAACCCCAAGAGCGGCGCUUUGGCCCCGGCCCCCGCGCCCUCUCCGAAGAAAGGAGAGUCAGGGACGGAGGGAGGCCGGGAGGCUGAACCCCGGGCCCGCCGUCGAACCGCCGGCCCUCCGACACCAUCUGGACCCCGGCGGGGACAGCCGCCUGGAAGGGGAGGAAGGCCAGGGACGUGGAAGAGAUGGGGCUCUAAAGGCGCCGGGACGGAGCUGGCUCCCCAGAGGCGCCCACCCUGCCAGCGAAGGCCGCCAUCGGAGGUGGGCAAACCAGGGACCUGGGGUGGACCAGGACCCCGGGCCUGCUGAGCAACCCGUUUGCUGAGCAGGAGGCGAUUUGCAGGCCUCUUGCCUCCUUAGGCCUUGGGAGAUUUCCUUUCACUGAAAGGGCCAGAUCCUGGCGAUGGUGACAGGAACGGUACCCCGCACGGUAAGGGUCAGGCAGGAAGGGCCUCCCACCGCGGCGUGGCUGCCGCCGUUCUAAGAAGAGACCAUGAAAAAUAAGGAAGAAGGCUAGAGAAAAAGAGGUCUUAGGGAAAUUUUUUUUUUUAACAAGUGGUGCAAUGUACCAGACUAGGGUGGGAAGAGUGAAGGCUGAAGAAGGUCUGGUGUUCUGCAGAUCGCAUGGCGGUUCUUUUCCACCAGUGGACCUCACUGGGGCCUCCUCUGCAGCUCUCAGGUGCAGCCCUUCCUCUACAUUCCCGCCGCCUUCAUUCCUGUCUACCCCUGGUCACCUUACCCCGGACUCCAGCAACAGCCCGCUCUCCCCAACCCUCCCCGGGAGCCUCCUCACUGCUGCCAGAGUAAUGGCCUGAAACACUGCCCUCAUCCUCCACACGUGUCUCUGCUGUACUCUGACGCGUGAUAUUCUUACCUGUCCAAACUUUCCUUCUACUGAUAUUUCACACAAACUUCCCUGCCCCUUCUUCCCUUCCCCAGGAGCAAUGACAGAACACAGACACAAAGGCGCAUCAUGCCUAUUCAAUUCCUAUUCUGUCCACCGCAUUUGCAGGGCCUCCCUGCCACCCACCCCCAUCCUGAAACUGUUCUGCUUCUAUACAGUUUGUGGACGUUGUGCCUAUAGAUCCCACAGUCAGGAUGAGUGGCAUGCAGGUUGAGUCCUGGCUUCCCAGAGGAUUGGCUGUGUGGCCUUGGUCAAAUGACAUAACCUCUCAGAGCUUCGGUUUUCUCUUAAGAUAUGGAUUUAGCAGAUCUAUUGUAGAGAUAAACACAUUGUGUCUACAGUAGUAUUUUAAAAUAUUUUCUACUUCUUCCCCUCCCCUGCGAUGUGGUAGAAAUCCACUACCCCAUCCUCUUGAAGUUAGAUGAGACCAUCGGACUUGCUUAGGCCAAUGGAAUGAGAGCAGAAGUGAUUGUGUUGCUUUCACUUGGAACCUUUAGGAGCCAGUGAGCAAAUCCCCAUGUCUUCUUUUUCCUAUCUUGACAAUCAUGGUGGUACAAAGUUGGAGCCUCCCCAAGCCAGCCUGAGUCUCUGUGUAAAGAUGGCAGAAAAUCCCAGCCAAUCUGCAUUGGAAAAGUAGUGUCAGCAAAUAUUAAACUUUAUUUAUGUUAAGUCAGUGGGAUUUGUUAAAGCAGCAUAACCUGGCUUAUUCUGGCUGAUAGUGUUACUCCCAGAUAUGUGGGACUUCAUCAGUAUCUAUUGAAUCAACAGCAUCAUCUACCAUAGGCUGGUACUGUUUUAUGACAGUAAACCCUCCUCUGUAAAGUAGCUGUUUACAAUCCCUAUUUUCAAUUGAAGAAACCGUAUCAGAAAGGUUAAGUAAUUUCCCAGAGGUUACACAGUUUGUAAAUGGCAGGACCAGGAUUUAAACCCUACCUGUCCAGUUCCAAAGCUCCCCCUUCUCCUUUCAUAUAUGCCAUGCUCCGUCUCCUUAAAUGGGAAGGAUGAAAAACACCCAGUACAAUGCCUAGCACACAGUCAUGCCCAGGCACUGGGAGUUCCUCUCCAGACUGAAUUCCUACCACGUUUAUAAUUGGAACCACACUUCAGCACAAUGCUAUCAGGCAUUGUGUGUGAAUGUUUUCACAUCGAUAAAGCAUUUUCUCCAACAAGAGCCCAGGCUCCUUGAUUAAGAGCUUCAGAUCUAGAGGCAGAGUGACUAGGUUCAAAUCCCUGUUCCACCUCUUAUGAUCAUCUUGGAUAAUUGUUUUCCCCCUCUAUGCCUCAGUUCUCUAAUCUGCAAAGUGGCGAUGGUAACUUUCAUGUGCGUCUGUGUGAAGAGACCACCAAACAGGCUUUGUGUGAGCAAUAAAGCUUUUAAUCACCUGGGUGCAGGCGGGCUGAGUCCAAAAAGAGAGUCAGCAAAGGGAGAUAGGGGUGGGGCCGUUUUAUAAGAUUUGGGUAGGUAAAGGAAAAUUACAGUCAAAGAAAGGGGGGUUGUUCUCUGGCGGGCAGGGGUGGGGGUCGUGAGGUGCUCAGUGGGGGAGCUUUUUGAGCCAGGAUGAGCCAGGAAGAGCCAGGAAAAGGACUUUCACAAGGUAAUGUCAUCACUUAAGGCAAGGGCCGGCCAUUUUCACUUCUUUUGUGGUGGAAUGUCAUCAGUUAAGGCAGGGCAGGGCAUUUUCACUUCUUUUCUGAUUCUUCAGUUACUUCAGGCCAUCUGGGCGUAUACGUGCAAGUCACAGGGGAUGCGAUGGCUUGGCUUGGGCACAGAGGCCUGACAGUAACAAUGUAUGUGGUAUUAGCAAUUACGCCAAUAACACAUCCCACAGGGUUGGUAUGAGGAUUAAGGGCUAGACUAUAUCCACUCAAUAAAUCGUGGAUAUUAAUACGAUACUUUUCAUCUUCCAUAGCUCCUACUAGAAUUUGGAGCCUUUUUUUUUUUGCGAUGGAAUUUCACUCUUGUCACCCAGGCUGGAGUGCAAUGGCACGAUCUUGGCUCACUGCAACCUCCGCCUCCCUAGUUCAAGCAAUUCCCCUGCCUCAGCCUCCCAAGUACCUGGAAUUACAGGCAUGUGCCACCACGCCCAGCUAAUUUUUUUGUAUUUUCAAUAGAGACGAGGUUUCACCAUGUCGGUCAGGCUGGUCUCAAACUCCUGACCACAGGUGACCCACCUGCCUAGGCCUCCCAAAGUGCUGGGAUUACAGGAAUGAGCCACCGUGCCUGGCCUGGGGCAAUUUUAAGCAGUUUAAUCAUACUGCUUGGUUAGACUCUGAUUUCUGGUUUUGUUCUUGGAUACAGGACAGAUGUAGUAACAUUGGCACUUGAAAGUGUGACAUCCACACUAUCCUACAUCUUUUAUUUACAUAAGGCUCAUUACUGGUCCUUCACUGCACUUUCUAUUUUCAAAGCAAUUUAAAAGAAAGAAGGUAUGUUCGCUUUCUCAAGAAAUCGUUGUUCAGGAAUCCUGUCAUUCAGGCAGCAUAGAUGAGCUUGGAGGACAUUAUGUUGAGUGAAAUAAGCCAGGCACAGCAAGACAAAUACCACAUGUUCUCACUCAUAUGUGGAAGCUAAAAAAGUUAAUCUCAUUGAAGUAGAGAGUAGAAUUGUGGUUACUAGAGGUUGGGGGAGGGGACAGGGAUAGCCAAAGGUUGGUUAGCGAGCACAAAAUUACAACUAGAUAAGACAAAUAAGUGCUCAUCUUUGAUAGCACUGCAGGGUGACUAUAAUUAAUAAUUUAAUUGGGAGGAUACAAUAAAUUAGUAAUUUAUAUUGUGUAUUUAAGAACAUACAGUAGAAUAUUAUAUUGUAUAUAUUCAUUAUUGAUUGUAUAUAUUUAUUUAUUGUAUGUUUAUAAUUUAUUGUAUAUAAAUUAUAUACAAUAUAUUGUCUAUAUUAAUAAUUUAUUUUAUAUAUUCAGAUAGCUAGAAGAGCAGAUUUUGAAUGUUCCCAACACAACAAAAUGAUAUAUGUUUGCUAUGUGAAUAACCCUGAUUUGAUCAUUACACGUUGUAUGCAUGUAUCGAAAUAUCACACUGUGCCCCAUAAAUAUGUACAAU